UACGGAGGGUGCGAGCGUUGUCCGGAAUCAUUGGGCGUAAAGGGCGCGUAGGUGGCCCGGUCAGUUCGUGGUGAAAGCGCGGGGCUCAACCCUGCGUCGGCCAUGAAUACUGCCGCGGCUGGAGCACUGUAGAGGCAGGCGGAAUUCCGGGUGUAGCGGUGGAAUGCGUAGAGAUCCGGAAGAACACCGGUGGCGAAGGCGGCCUGCUGGGCAGUUGCUGACACUGAGGCGCAACAGCGUGGGGAGCAAACAGG
rnacentral:rRNA from 1 species